rnacentral:tRNA from 1 species
GGGGAUUUAGCUCAGUGGUAGAGCGCUUGCCUAGCAAGCACAUAGGCCCUGGGUUCGGUCCCCAGCUCUG